rnacentral:rRNA from 1 species
AUUGAACGCUGGCGGCAGGCCUAACACAUGCCAGUCGAGCGGAUGAGGGGAGCUUGCUCCUGGAUUCAGCGGCGGACGGGUGAGUAAUGCCUAGGAAUCUGCCUGGUAGUGGGGGAUAACGUCCGGAAACGGGCGCUAAUACCGCAUACGUCCUGAGGGAGAAAGUGGGGGAUCUUCGGACCUCACGCUAUCAGAUGAGCCUAGGUCGGAUUAGCUAGUUGGUGGGGUAAAGGCCUACCAAGGCGACGAUCCGUAACUGGUCUGAGAGGAUGAUCAGUCACACUGGAACUGAGACACGGUCCAGACUCCUACGGGAGGCAGCAGUGGGGAAUAUUGGACAAUGGGCGAAAGCCUGAUCCAGCCAUGCCGCGUGUGUGAAGAAGGUCUUCGGAUUGUAAAGCACUUUAAGUGGGGAGGAAGGGCAGUAAGUUAAUACCUUGCUGUUUUGACGGUACCAACAGAAUAAGCACCGGCUAACUUCGUG